ACUUAAAGUCUCCUGAAGGAACGUUGAAGACGACGACGUUGAUAGGCCGGGUGUGUAAGCGCAGCGAUGCGUUGAGCUAACCGGUACUAAUGAACCGUGAGGCUUAACCUU
rnacentral:rRNA from 1 species